rnacentral:rRNA from 1 species
CCUACGGGAGGCAGCAGUGGGGAAUAUUGCGCAAUGGAGGAAACUCUGACGCAGCAACGCCGUGUGGGUGAAGAAGGUCUUCGGAUUGUAAAGCCCUGUCGGGAGGGAAGAAACCUGCAUGCAAGUGCAGCUGACGGUACCUCCGAAGGAAGCACUGGCUAACUCCGUGCCAGCAGCCGCGGUAAUACGGAGAGUGCAAACGUUGUUCGGAAUUAUUGGGCGUAAAGGGCGCGUAGGCGGCCCGGUAAGUCGGAUGUGAAAGCCCGGGGCUCAACCCUGGAAGUGCGUUCGAUACUGCUGGGCUUGAGUGCAGGAGGGAGAGGUGGAAUUCCUGGUGUAGGGGUGAAAUCCGUAGAUAUCAGGAGGAACACCGGUGGCGAAGGCGACCUCUUGGCCUGUUACUGACGCUGAGGCGCGAAGGCGUGGGGAGCAAACAGGAUUAGAUACCCUAGUAGUC